AGAACUUCUAUGUAGCAACUUUAUUAAACCCCUUUAUCAAUUCUAUUAGCUUUUGUUCAUAUUUUAUUUCUUUGGGUUGUGUGGAUUUUUUUUAAGAGAUGGGGUCUCACUGUGUUGCCCAGGCUGGUCUCAAAACUCCUGGGUUCAAGUAAUCCUCCCACCUCGGCCUUCCAAAGUGUUGGGAUUAUAGGCAUGAGCCACUUUGCCUGGCCCAGUCUGUCAAUUUCUGCUGUGAGUAAUCCCUGACCAAGUCUCACUCCGUCCCCCAGACUGGAAUGCAGUGGUGCGAUCUUGGCUCGCUGCAACCUCUGCCUCCUGGGUUCAAGCAAUUCUCCUGCCUCAGGNNNNNNNNNNUUUUUUUUUUUUUUUUGAGACCAAGUCUCACUCCGUCCCCCAGACUGGAAUGCAGUGGUGCGAUCUUGGCUCGCUGCAACCUCUGCCUCCUGGGUUCAAGCAAUUCUCCUGCCUCAGGCUCCCGAGUAGCUGGGAUUACAGGCACCUGCUACCACGCCCGGCUAAUUUUUGUACUUUUAGUAGAGACGGGGUUUCAUCAUGUUGGCGAGGCUGGCCUCAAACUCCUGACCUCAUGGGAUCUGUCGCCUCGGCCUCCCAAAGUGCAUGAGCCACCAUGCCCGGCCAGGAUUCUCUUUUAAUUGGUCUGUGGUGAGGCCUGGGUAUCAGUAUCUUUCAAAGCACCCUAGGUGAUUCUACUGUGCUGUCAAGUUUGAGACCCACUGAUUUAAUUGGGUAAGAGCUUUUAAAGCUCUUAUCUAGACCAGCGGCUCUGAACCCAGGAGACAUUUGACAGUGUCUGAAGACAUUUCUGGUUAUCACAGCUGGCAGUAGGAGGGUGCUCCUGGUAGAAGGCAGGAGGCUGUGGAACAUCCUGCAGUGCUGGGGACAGCACCGCACAACAGGUGGAGAAUUACCUGGCCAUAGUGCUGAGGUUGAAAAACCCUGUCCUAGACAUAAAGAUAUAAAAUAAUCAAGAAAGGUUAUCUGGGUUAUAAGAUGACAAGCUCUAUAUGAAAAUUUUCACAUUUGCUCCACAGUUUUUUUUUUUUUUCGAGAUGGAGUCUCGCCCUGUUGCCCAGGCUGGAGUGCAAUGGUGUAAUCUCAGCUCACUGUAACCUCCGCCUC
rnacentral:lncRNA from 1 species